GCGGAUCCAUUAUGGUCGGCUCGACUGCUUCAUUCAAAUCCAGAACUUAUCAAACAGGCCCACAAGAAUUUCAUUGAAGCCGGAAGUGACGUGGUUGUCACGGCAACCUACCAAGCUUCAGUGGAAGGCUUCUGUCAAGAGCUUCAAAUUACCGAGGACGAGGCUGUUCGUCUUAUGUUUUCUGGGACAAAAAUCGCGAGAGAUGCAUGGCGGGAAGCUUCUGACAGCAUUCGAACAG